rnacentral:rRNA from 1 species
CAGCAGCCGCGGUAAUACGUAGGUGGCAAGCGUUGUCCGGAAUUAUUGGGUGUAAAGGGCUCGCAGGCGGUUUCUUAAGUCUGAUGUGAAAGCCCCCGGCUCAACCGGGGAGGGUCGUUGGAAACUGGGAAACUUGAGUGCAGAAGAGGGGAGUGGAAUUCCACGUGUAGCGGUGAAAUGCGUAGAGAUGUGGAGGAACACCGGUGGCGAAGGCGACUCUCUGGUCUGUAACUGACGCUGAGGAGCGAAAGCGUGGGGAGCGAACAGGAUUAGAUACCCCGGUAGUCCCUGUCUCUUAUAC